rnacentral:rRNA from 1 species
UACGUAGGGUGCGAGCGUUAAUCGGAAUUACUGGGCGUAAAGCGUGCGCAGGCGGUUUUGUAAGCCAGAUGUGAAAUCCCCGGGCUCAACCUGGGAAUGGCAUUUGGGACUGCAAGGCUGGAGUACGGCAGAGGAGACUGGAAUUCCUGGUAUAGCAGUGAAAUGCGUAGAUAUCAGGAGGAAUACCGAUGGCGAAGGCAGGUCUCUGGGCUGAUACUGACGCUCAUGCACGAAAGCGUGGGGAGCAAACAGG